rnacentral:rRNA from 1 species
AUUGAACGCUGGCGGCAUGCCUUACACAUGCAAGUCGAACGGCAGCAUGAUCUAGCUUGCUAGAUUGAUGGCGAGUGGCGAGCGGGUGAGUCAUACAUCGGAACGUGCCCUGUAGUGGGGGAUAACUAGUCGAAAGAUUAGCUAAUACCGCAUACGACCUGAGGGUGGAAGUGGGGGACCGCAAUGCCGCAUGCUAUAGGAGCGGCCGAUGUCUGAUUAGCUAGUUGGUGAGGUAAAGGCUCACCAAGGCGACGAUCAGUAGCUGGUCUGAGAGGACGAUCAGCCACACUGGGACUGAGCCACGGCCCAGACUCCUACGGGAGGCAGCAGUGGGGAAUUUUGGACAAUGGGCGAAAGCCUGAUCCAGCAAUGCCGCGUGUGUGAAGAAGGCCUUCGGGUUGUAAAGAACUUUUGUCCGGAAAGAAAUGGCUCUGGUUAAUACCUGGGGUCGAUGACGGUACCGGAAGAAUAAGGACCGGCUAACUACGUG